rnacentral:tRNA from 1 species
AGAAACUUAGGAUAACAACCCAAACCGGAGGCCUUCAAAGCCUCAGACAAGAGCUUAAACCUCUUAGUUUCUG